GGGCAAUUAGCUCAGUUGGUAGAGCGUUCGCUUUGCAUUAUUCCAGCAUGCGAAAGGUCGUGAUUUCGAUUAUCACAUUGUCCA
rfam:Emmonsia pasteuriana TAMH 9510 supercont1.57, whole genome shotgun sequence.